AAUGAACGUUGGCGGCGUGGAUUAGGCAUGCAAGUCGAGCGGGUAGUCUUUUGCUUGCAAAAGACGAAAGCGGCGAAAGGGAGAGUAACACGUGGAUCACCUACCCUCGGGCCCGGGAUAGCGGCGGGAAACCGCCGGUAAUACCGGAUAACGUCCCCGGACCAAAGGUGCGAUUCCGUCUGAGGAUGGGUCCGCGUCCUAUUAGCUAGUUGGUGGAGUAAUAGCCCACCAAGGCAAUGAUGGGUAGCGGGUGUGAGAGCACGACCCGCCUCACUGGGACUGAGAUACUGCCCAGACACCUACGGGUGGCUGCAGUCGAGAAUCUUCGGCAAUGGGCGCAAGCCUGACCGAGCGACGCCGCGUGCGGGAUGAAGGCCUUCGGGUUGUAAACCGCUGUCAGAGGGGCGGAAAUGCAUCAGGGUUCUCCCUGGUGUUUGACUUAACCUCAGAGGAAGCACGGGCUAAGUUCGUGC
rnacentral:rRNA from 1 species